rnacentral:rRNA from 1 species
AUACGUAGGGUGCGAGCGGUUAAUCGGAAUUACUGGGCGUAAAGCGUGCGCAGGCGGAUUGUUAAGCAAGACGUGAAAUCCCCGGGCUUAACCUGGGAAUGGCGUUUUGAACUGGCAGUCUAGAGUGUGUCAGAGGGGGGUGGAAUUCCACGUGUAGCAGUGAAAUGCGUAGAGAUGUGGAGGAACACCAAUGGCGAAGGCAGCCCCCUGGGAUAACACUGACGCUCAUGUACGAAAGCGUGGGUAGC